rnacentral:rRNA from 1 species
AGUGAACGCUGGCGGUAGGCCUAACACAUGCAAGUCGAACGGCAGCACAGUAAGAGCUUGCUCUUACGGGUGGCGAGUGGCGGACGGGUGAGGAAUACAUCGGAAUCUACUUUUUCGUGGGGGAUAACGUAGGGAAACUUACGCUAAUACCGCAUACGACCUACGGGUGAAAGCAGGGGAUCUUCGGACCUUGCGCGAUUGAAUGAGCCGAUGUCGGAUUAGCUAGUUGGCGGGGUAAAGGCCCACCAAGGCGACGAUCCGUAGCUGGUCUGAGAGGAUGAUCAGCCACACUGGAACUGAGACACGGUCCAGACUCCUACGGGAGGCAGCAGUGGGGAAUAUUGGACAAUGGGCGCAAGCCUGAUCCAGCCAUACCGCGUGUGUGAAGAAGGCCUUCGGGUUGUAAAGCCCUUUUGUUGGGAAAGAAAAGCAGCAGGUUAAUACCCCGCGGUUCUGACGGUACCCAAAGAAUAAGCACCGGCUAACUUCGUG